rnacentral:rRNA from 1 species
GACGAACGCUGGCGGCGUGCUUAACACAUGCAAGUCGAACGGAAAGGCCCUGCUUUUGUGGGGUGCUCGAGUGGCGAACGGGUGAGUAACACGUGAGUAACCUGCCCUUGACUUUGGGAUAACUUCAGGAAACUGGGGCUAAUACCGGAUAGGAGCUCCUGCUGCAUGGUGGGGGUUGGAAAGUUUCGGCGGUUGGGGAUGGACUCGCGGCUUAUCAGCUUGUUGGUGGGGUAGUGGCUUACCAAGGCCUUGACGGGUAGCCGGCCUGAGAGGGUGACCGGCCACAUUGGGACUGAGAUACGGCCCAGACUCCUACGGGAGGCAGCAGUGGGGAAUAUUGCACAAUGGGCGGAAGCCUGAUGCAGCAACGCCGCGUGCGGGAUGACGGCCUUCGGGUUGUAAACCGCUUUCGCCUGUGACGAAGCGUGAGUGACGGUAAUGGGUAAAGAAGCACCGGCUAACUACGUGCCAGCAGCCGCGGUGAUACGUAGGGUGCGAGCGUUGUCCGGAUUUAUUGGGCGUAAAGGGCUCGUAGGUGGUUGAUCGCGUCGGAAGUGUAAUCUUGGGGCUUAACCCUGAGCGUGCUUUCGAUACGGGUUGACUUGAGGAAGGUAGGGGAGAAUGGAAUUCCUGGUGGAGCGGUGGAAUGCGCAGAUAUCAGGAGGAACACCAGUGGCGAAGGCGGUUCUCUGGGCCUUUCCUGACGCUGAGGAGCGAAAGCGUGGGGAGCGAACAGGCUUAGAUACCCUGGUAGUCCACGCUGUAAACGGUGGGUACUAGGUGUGGGGUCCAUUCCACGGGUUCCGUGCCGUAGCUAACGCUUUAAGUACCCCGCCUGGGGAGUACGGCCGCAAGGCUAAAACUCAAAGGAAUUGACGGGGCCCCGCACAAGCGGCGGAGCAUGCGGAUUAAUUCGAUGCAACGCGUAGAACCUUACCUGGGUUUAACAUGGAUCGGGAGCGCUCAGAGAUGGGUGUGCCUCUUUUGGGGUCGGUUCACAGGUGGUGCAUGGCUGUCGUCAGCUCGUGUCGUGAGAUGUUGGGUUAAGUCCCGCAACGAGCGCAACCCUUGUUCACUGUUGCCAGCACGUUAUGGUGGGGACUCAGUGGAGACCGCCGGGGUCAACUCGGAGGAAGGUGGGGAUGACGUCAAGUCAUCAUGCCCCUUAUGUCCAGGGCUUCACGCAUGCUACAAUGGCUGGUACAGAGAGUGGCGAGCCUGUGAGGGUGAGCGAAUCUCGGAAAGCCGGUCUCAGUUCGGAUUGGGGUCUGCAACUCGACCUCAUGAAGUCGGAGUCGCUAGUAAUCGCAGAUCAGCAACGCUGCGGUGAAUACGUUCCCGGGGCU